GUGCCCCCCCUGUGUCCUGCGGGAGAGGUGUGGUGGACGUGAGGUCUCACUUCUCUGUCCAGCCACCUGGACCUGACCCUUGGUCCCGAUCCCCAGGACAUUUCUGCAGGACCCGGGGAGCUGCUGCUCUCUUGCUCCGGAAGCUUCUCCUAUGUCUCUCAAGCCUUUUCCUGCUUCGCUGGACGGACCUCGUGAACCGUCCUGGGGAUCCCGCGCUCGAGGGGCUGCUGGGUGAGGCUUCUUCAUUCCUCAGCUGGGGACAGAUGGUUGGAAAUUUCUCCAAACACAAUGGCGCUGGGGUUUCCUCCCACACCCUGGUGGUGACCGUCCCCUGCUCUCGGGACGCUGCCACCUGGACGUCACCUCCCGUGUUGGGAGAAGUGCCCUUUGUGGUGGACGCCUCACCUGCCCACUGCCUGACUUCUCCCACGUCUGGGAUCCCGUGGCUACUGAGAGGACCCCGGUGGACAGGUGGGUGGGUCUGGAUGAUGGCCCCCAGCGUGGCCCAGGGCCCCGCCAUCUUACCCAGGAUGCAGCUGGGCUUGGCCAGACGUGUAUCACAUUUCCCCUGGAUCACAUUCUGCCUCUCCUCCAGCCAACAACGGGCACCUUGCUGCCCCUGUGCUGGUGGCAUGAGGGACCAUAAGGCACGGCUUGGUCUCAUUUUGCUGGUGAACUCGGGUGGCUCAGGGGACUCUGUGCCCAUUCAAGGUCGAGCUGCACAGCGAAGCCCCACAGUGGGUGGUUAGAUCAGCAGAGGUCUAUCUCCCCGUCCUGAAGGCUGGAGGUCCGAGGUCCAGGGUGGGAAGGGCGGGCUCCUCCCAAGGCCUCUCCCCUGGGCUGGCAGCCGCCGUCUUCUCCCUGUGUCCUCCCGGGGCGUCCCUCUGUGUGCGUCUGUGUCCUCAUCUCCUCCUCUACGAGGACCCCAGUCCUGCUGGGUCAGGGCCACCCUGGGGACCUCACUGCACCCCCAUCCCCUCUGCAAAGACCCGUCUCCACCCACAGGCACGUCCCAAGGUCCUGGGGCCAGGGCUGCAGGGGGUGUCUUAGGGGACACAGUUGGUCCUGUGAGAGGGCCAGAUGGUUGUCCCAGGUUACCUUGGGGGUUAGGGUUAGAUUUGGGGACCCCAGCUAUGGGAAAUGCACCCCCACCUCCAUACAGGAGGUCAGCACCCUCAUGAGCUGGGCCACAGGGGCUCAGGGGGCACUGUGGUCAGCGGGGCCACAGCUGCGUCCUUGGCCUGUGAGAUUGGCCGACGGGAUCAGGUCUGUCCUCUGUGCAUGUGGGGGAGGAUGGUCGGGCCAUCUCGGGGACAUGGAGUCGGGUCUUACAACCCCCCCCACCUUGAUUUUCCUGGGCCCAGGCAGAGUGGCCACCUGACCAGGCCCCCAGGCUGCCUACGGUGCCUGCACCAGCCACUCAGCGUCCAGGCAGGUCAGAGGGGUCAACCUGGCUUGGCCAGGUGGCCAGGGGCGAGUCAGGGCUGCGGGGUCCCUGCUGGACGUGGGCUCGGCACCCACAGCCCGGGCCUGGGAGACAGGGUAAGUGCCGGUCAUUAGAACUCGCCAGCACCGCGCCCAGUCUGCGCUCCUGGUACGACGACGCAGAGGUUUGAUAAGGAGCCGCCCAGGCCAGGCUGACGGUAAUCAGGCCUGGACGUCGGGAGCCAUUGUGGCUCGGUUCACAGGCCCACAGCUGGUGCCCGGGAAGCGAAGGUGGACGUGCCCAGCAGCCAGCGCCCACUCUGCCGGGUGCCCAGGAGCUGCCGCAGCCCCGGGGUCCUGGACACACCCGGCGCAGGGCGGCCCAGAGCCGGCGGCAGGUCCAGAACCCAGCACCUUCCUGUCUGGGGACCAGCCGCGGCCCAGCAGGCCUGGGAGAGGCCCAUGUGGACAGCCCUGUGGGCUGUGGGCAGAGGGCCAGCCCUAGCUGACCAGCACCUGGUCCUGGAGACUCAGGUGGGUGGACAGCAGCCCUGAGGGUCUCAUGGCGAGGCUCUGCCCACCUAAGGCGAUCUUGGGGAAUCAGCGCCCCGCCCCAGGAUGGACAGUCCUCCCUGGCCAGCAAGGCCCCCAGAGGUCACGCAUUCCAAAGGCAGAAAACAGCUCCUAUGGCCCCGGACCUGGGCGGCCGACACCCAGGGACACGCAGUGUCUGGACCUUGCUGCUUGUGCAAGGAGGGCGCUAGUCCAAGGGUCACGCCAGCAGGGGCCUGCUGACCUUCCAGGGGCAUCUGCUGACCACGUGCAGGAACAGCCCCUGAG
rnacentral:lncRNA from 1 species